rnacentral:lncRNA from 1 species
CUUUGGAUACACUAAUUUACGCUCUUUCUUUGGAGGAAAUCCCAGGAAAAUGCAAUUUCAAUCUAGGAUGUUUUGAUUCUUGAUGAAAUUUGAACCCAUCUGUGAAGCCGGCACCCUUUUCCUCUCCUGUUUAUCUUCUUUUAAAUUUGCAAACUCAUUUUCUCUCACUAAACGUAAAUCUCACUCUGCCCUUUUCCAAAAUCAGAACUCCCGAAAAUUUCGCACCGCAACAGUAAACGGUUAAAAUUGUCGUCAAUUCAGAUGAAGAGAGAGCGCUGAGGCUCGUGUAUGGCGAAACCAGACGAGGUCGGUGGCGGUGUCUAUUUUGGUUGUUGGAUGUUCAGCCAAGAUGAGGAAGGAGGAUCUAGGUGGGUGGAGGUUAAGGGGAAAAUAUUGUACAGGCGGCGACAGCGGUGAGAGUAAUCGGACGGCAAGGGUUGACGGAGGAAAAGGAUGAAGAGGAGAGAGGGAGAGUUUGCGUGGUGAGGAGGGAGGGAUAGACAUAUAACAGAUGAGAGAGAAAUAUCUACAGAGGAAAGAUAAUGGUUUUAGAGAGUUACAGUGGAGAGAGAGAGAAAGAUAAAAUCUAAUGUUUUUAUUUGCUCUAAUUAAAAUGUUUAUUUUGAUUUAUUUUAGUGUUGGCGUGUUUUAUUUGGUCCAAAACGUGGCUACCGCAUUUUAGCCCAUUUUGUCAAGCUGUAAAGUGAAAAUCUAAUGUCUUCUCUAAAAAAAACAAAUAAUAAAAAUAAUAGUUAGUCGAGAGAAAUUAAUGAAACUGCUAACAUAGG